CAGACAGACACAUACUAACAUACAUACAGACACACAUGCAUGAGGACAUAAAGACACAUAAAUACAUACAUACACACUGACAUACAUACAGACACCAACAUACAUACACACAUACAUACACACACACAUACUGACAGACAUACAGACACUGAUAUCCAUACACACAUACAUUCAUAAUGGCAUACAGACAUACACAGACAUACAUUCAUAAUUGCAUACAGACAUACAUACAUUCAGACUGACAUACAUG